AGACCCGAAACCCGGUGAUCUAGCCAUGGGCAGGUUGAAGGUUGGGUAACACUAACUGGAGGACCGAACCGACUAAUGUUGAAAAAUUAGCGGAUGACCUGUGGCUGGGGGUGAAAGGCCAAUCAAACCGGGAGAUAGCUGGUUCUCCCCGAAAGCUAUUUAGGUAGCGCCUCGUGAAUUCAUCUCCGGGGGUAGAGCACUGUUUCGGCUAGGGGGCCAUCCCGGCUUACCAACCCGAUGCAAACUGCGAAUACCGGAGAAUGUUAUCACGGGAGACACACGGCGGGUGCUAACGUCCGUCGUGAAGAGGGAAACAACCCAGACCGCCAGCUAAGGUCCCAAAGUCAUGGUUAAGUGGGAAACGAUGUGGGAAGGCCCAGACAGCCAGGAUGUUGGCUUAGAAGCAGCCAUCAUUUAAAGAAAGCGUAAUAGCUCACUGGUCGAGUCGGCCUGCGCGGAAGAUGUAACGGGGCUAAACCAUGCACCGAAGCUGCGGCAGCGACACUGUGUGUUGUUGGGUAGGGGAGCGUUCUGUAAGCCUGUGAAGGUGUG
rnacentral:rRNA from 2 species